CGAGGUGUGGCUCAGUUUGGUAGAGCGCUACGUUCGGGACGUAGAGGCCGUGUGUUCGAAUCACAUCACCUCGACCA
rnacentral:tRNA from 4 species